rnacentral:tRNA from 1 species
UCCUGGCUGGCUCAGUUGGUAGAGCAUGUGACUCUUGAUCUUGGGGUUGUGAGUUCCAGUCCCACACUGGGUG